UACGUAGGGCGCGAGCGUUGUCCGGAAUUAUUGGGCGUAAAGCGCACGUAGGCGGCUUUGCAAGUCCCAUGUGAAAUCCCACGGCUCAACCGUGGAAGUGCAUGGGAAACUGCAGAGCUUGAGUACUUAAGAGGAUCGCGGAAUUCCCGGUGUAGAGGUGAAAUUCGUAGAUAUCGGGAGGAACACCAGUGGCGAAGGCGGCGAUCUGGGAAGAUACUGACGCUGAGGUGCGAAAGCGUGGGGAGCAAACAGG
rnacentral:rRNA from 1 species